CAGGGUGGGGUAUUAUUGUUUUUCUAGGCAAUCAUUUUACCAAGUGAUUUCACCCCAGCCUGAGAAGGGCAUAUUUUAAAUGGCUAUCACGAAGUAGGCGUUCACAAGCAUAUUCACGUUCUUCUCCUCUUCUGGCUGUCUCCUGUGCUCUGCUUUUCAGGACAAGAACACACACCCUUUGGUGAGCCUCUCUUCUCCACUGGAAGCUGAAAACUCAGCAGCAGGUGCAAAAGGCCUAAGUGAAAACUCGUCAGAGCCUCGUCCAGCCUCCAGUCUGCAGAAAGCUCCGCCCUAAAAGUUUUCCAUUCUGCAGCUGUGCAGUGGGAGUGGAGACCUCUGCCCUCGGAGGGCAGGUAUUCUGAGGAGUCAGACAUGGUUUAAGCCUCAGCUGCUCUGUGGGACAUAAUGGGAUGUGGCUCAGAGCUGUCUGACGCCAUGCAGAGUUGGGUAAAUCUGGCCUGUUCUCAUCCCUCCAAGAGACCUUUCACCUUGGGGGCUCAGCGACUAGAACAACAUUUCAGGAGUCGACAGUUUCACGUUCCCCAGUGAGCCAUGGAGCAGACUGCUGCUGGCUGGAUAUCAGGCCAAACCCAUGAGCUGUGAGAGGGAUGUCCAUCUGAUCCCGGGGAACCGAGAACCGAUUCACAUGCUUGAAGACACAGCUUCCUGCCAGGAAGAAGGUCUGGGCUUUGUUUCUUAUGUGUCCCAACCAAUGCGUAGAUUGGCCUCUCCAAGGUCUCACAGGUGGACAGUGGAGGUGGUCAGGACAAGGACAAGCCUGAUUGUCAUCGUUCUUGUCAAUGUAGUUUGGAGAAGCUAACCAAGCAAGACCCGACAGCAUCUCUUGGAGAACCGCCUAUGCGCUCGUACGUUGAUAAUGAACGAAUGGUCUUUGGACUAAAGGAGCUCAUGCUUUCGCAACUGAGACAGAUGGUGUCUGCUUCAAGGUACCCCCAUCCCUCUGAUCUCAAGGAUCCUUCAAUAACUGAGAAAUCAUGCCAGCUCCUCCCGGGCAGUGCCCUGGAUUCCCGGCUCAUUGUCAUUCGUUUCUCUCUCAACUGUUAGCUUCUGGGUUCAAUUUCUGAACGGCUUUUCCAUGAUGAAAGAGCACGAAGAUCCCUCCCCUUUGCGCAUGACUACCAGAUAGUAGACGGCACUUGUCCUGUGAGAGGCGUCUGCAUUCAACAUUGUUUUUCUGAGUGAGGCACAUGCUGUCACCAUUUUGCCGAGUACACUCUCUCUUCAUGGGUUUUUGUGACAUUCCCUUCUCUGAAAUUGCCACCUACCUUUUGGCAGCCUCCUUAAUAAAGCUCUGUCGUGAUACUUGUCACACUCGGGGUUUUAACCAUCUGUCUAUUUUGGUCCCUCCCACCAGAAAAAAACUCGGUGGCCUACUCAUUUUUCUUCCCUAGUUCCUACACAUGGUGACAUCAAUUAAUGCUGGAAGAAUGAAUGGAUUAGUAAAGGAAUGGACAGAAGUCUUUAUAACAGGCAUCUAUAAACAGAACAUUACUCUACAGGUCAGAAAGCCACAUAGGGGGCUGGAGAGAUGGCUCAACAGUUAAGAGCACUGCCGGCUCUUCCAGAAGACCCUAGUUCAAUUCCCAGCACCCACGCAGCAGCUCAUACCUGUUUCUAACUCCAGUUCCAAGGCUUCUGACAGCCUCACACAGACGUACACACAGGCAAAACACCAAUGAUCAUAAAAUUAAAAAAAAAAAAAAGAGUGCUACACAGAAGUGGGUGGGGGUGCACGUGCCUUCAGGAGCCAGAGUCAGGCGAAUCUCUGAGUUCAAGGCCAGCCAAAGCCAGUUCCAGGACAGCCAGGGUUACACAGAGAACCUCUCUUGGGGAAAAGAAAAGAAUGUCACACAGAAGAGGCCAUUGGAGAACCAACAGUUGAGACUUACUUACAGCCCUGUCCUGUAUGAAAGGCCUGUGUUUGCACAACCUGGUAGCAGUUUCCUCCAAGAUCGAAACACUCCAUCUUCCAGGGAAGCUCCUUAAUUCAGCGCCAUAAACUGACCAGAUUCAGUAGGUCCCUCCCUCUAAGGAUGAGUAGGCAAUAAAGAUUGCUGAGAUGAGCCGAGCUU